GGAAGGUUUCUUCAUGUUCACCUUAAAUCUGAGUCAAAGACGUGGAUGUUCAAGCAGCAUUGUCCCCGUUCACUAAUAGUUUUGAAGCCACUCAUCGCCCAGCAGGCAACUUAUCCAAGUGUGACAGACAAACUGAUACCUUCAGUGCAAAUACACUAAGCAUGGGCAAACUGAAACAGCAGUUAACCUUCUAAGAUGAACAAUAUUUGCCUGUUCAUAUAUUCUGGAUUUGUCAAUUAAGGGAACGAAAUUGUUUGUGAUUUUAGGUCUAUCUAGGGUUUUAUACCUGUGAGCUAAACUCACCAAAACUAUACAGUGGUAAACUUUUUCUCAAGGGUACCUUGACAGUUGUUGUUGAGAGAUGAGUAAGCAUUACCUAUUCCCUGUCUUCUUCAACUGUUCUUCAACAUCUUCAGUGUUCCAGUUACAGCCCCACACUGUGGUUUAAGUCCCUCAGCGAAGGAUUAGUCAGGUUGCUCCAGUGAAAGAUGGAUGGAUCAAACUUGCCUCUUACUGACUCUGGAUGCCUUCCCUCUGGAUCCAGUGACACUGCUUACCCUCUAUUACCUCUCAUCUCACAGUCUCCAUGAUCUACGCAGAGAGAAAAACCCAAAGAGAACCUGUUUGUAAAAUGGACAGAGAUACGCUCCAGUCCCAGGGGAAGUUGCUAAUUUUGGAGCGUAGCACACAAAACAAAACAAACUGUCUCCACAUGAAAGGCCUCAUGAAUAUUUACAAGUGAUGAUCACAGUGGGCUGCUAUUAUCAUUACACGUCUGUCCGUGCAAGGAAUGUAAAGCCGGCACACACCCCGGACUGAAAGGUGCCUUAGACCUCAUCCCGAAUGCACCAUGUCAUAUUUUGAUGUUAUGAAGCAUGACAGUGAUUCUCCUCCUACUUCAUAUGUAACAGCUGUUGAUGCCUGCUGCUUUACAGCCACGUUUGAAUUAGAAUUUUGUGAAAUGCCCUGAAAGCGGAGAGUCGAAUGUGACUUUAACCUUCAAAAAUAUAUAAAGUCAUAGCACGGCUCAGUGGAUCAGCUGCCUUUACAGGAACGAUUCAAAGUGUGCAUCCAGGAUUCCCUAUUCUGUAUACAAGCCUAUAAACUAACCAUGAAACUGUUUGUUGAGUGUUAUAUAGGCUUUGAUGAAGUUUUUCUUUGUGCUAAAUUUAACGUUAUGAUGUAAUUAGCGUCCUGCUUUGCUGCUUUCCAAACUUUAGAUGCUUAAAAUCUGUCAACAGUCGCUUCUGCUCUCCUUUAUUAUGAAAUU